rnacentral:misc_RNA from 1 species
CCGUAUGAAACGAAACGCGAUCGAGUUCAGCAGCCGUGCCGUGACCCGGCGCGUGCUCGUUCUCCGCGAUCCGUGUCCACACACACCGAGUGCACCCUGUGAGGGACUGCGAGGUCCCCCGCGCUUUACACGUACGAACGCCUGUUUUAAACGCAUGUCGAAUCCGUGACGGAAACGUCUACGUAAACA